UACGUAGGGACCAAGCGUUUGUUCGGAUUUACUGGGCGUAAAGGGCGCGUAGGCGGCGCGGUAAGUCACUUGUGAAAUCUCUGAGCUUAACUCAGAACGGCCAAGUGAUACUGCAGUGCUAGAGUGUGGAAGGGGCAAUCGGAAUUCUUGGUGUAGCGGUGAAAUGCGUAGAUAUCAAGAGGAACACCUGCGGCGAAGGCGGGUUGCUGGGCCGACACUGACGUGAUGCGCGAAACCAGGGGAGCGAACGGG
rnacentral:rRNA from 1 species